CCCCAAGUAUCGCCGAUAAGGUUCGGAUCGGAGUUUCUUCACAUGGCCACCGAUGUUCAGACCUUGGAAGAAAGGUAUAUUGAUUCCUGCAGUAGACUUGAUGUAUUACCAAAUCCUGCAAUUUUGUCUGGUCUCUUCAAGGCUGAUGUUAGAAAGGCUCGGCGAGAAUCAUGUACCCUAGAGAUUCUAUUGGAAUACUUGAAGGAUAUUGAUUUCAAUCCACUUCUUGAAG